UCUGCCUUGAUUAAGUUUCUAUCUAUUCUUACAUGCCUCACUUGAUCAUGCUACAUAAGAUUAUGGUAAGAGAACUCUCGAUAAAUAAAAUAUGAUUGCAGACACUGAUUAGUAGUGUUAUUCUUUUUUUAAUUUUUUAUUUGUGGCGAUAGUGUAGUUGUCGUGGACGCAGUUGGUCUUGGAGCUCAAGGAAGUAAUGGGUUUAUAGCUGCUGAUAUUUAGUGUUCUUCGCUCAUUUUUUAUGUGCCUAUUAUAUCUACAUGAGAGGGCCUCUUCUUUCUGGAAGGAUGCAAACAGGCUAUUAGUGUUGGCUGAUACUGUGAUGUUUCUAUUUGCCCCUGAAGAUACCAUUCUGAGCUGUGCCAAUGUAUUGGUGUCUGCAGUUGCCCCUGCAAGUCUUUCACCAUUGUUCCAAACUGGAAAUUCUGGUUGGCCAGAUAUGUUCAAAUUGCCAGCUGCUAUUGUCGUUGCAUCAUUUAAUUGGUAAAUAUACCUCACACAUCACAUUUCUUUGACAGUAAUAUGCAUUGGAUUAUGGCUUUUCUUUUUAGGCCCUGUCAGGCAAGAUGUUCCUCACACUACAGAUGCAUAUUAUGUUAUUUUAAUCAACGGAGUUGUUUCAAAAGCUUUACCUUUGACUGUUCAGAACAGUGCUGCUAAAACUUUAGUUGCUCUACUUAAAUUUCCAGUUUCCAUAUCAUUUUUAACCAAAACUAUAAAUCAAGUUGUUUCA